UACGUGAGUUAUUUUUUUGCUUCUUUUUUCUAAGCAUACUUACCUGUAUAUUGUUAUCAAGAAAUGAGAAGAUUGAUAGUGUUAUUAGUGUUCUUGUUUUGCUAAAUUUUGUAUAUUGUUAUCAAGAAAUGAGAAGAUUGAUAGUGUUAUUAGUGUUCUUGUUUUGCUAAAUUUUGUAUAUUGUUAUCAAGAAAUGAGAAGAUUGAUAGUGUUAUUUGUGUUCUUGUUUUGCUAAAUAUUGUAUAUUGUUAUCAAGAAAUGAGAAGAUUGAUAGUGUUAUUAGUGUUCUUGUUUUGCCAAAUUUUGUAUAUUGUUAUCAAGAAAUGAGAAGAUUGAUAGUGUUAUUAGUGUUCUUGUUUUGCUAAAUUCUGUAUAUUGUUAUCAAGAAAUGAGAGAAUUGAUAGUGUUAUUAGUGUUCUUGUUUUACAAAAUUCUGUAUAUUGUUAUCAAGAAAUGAGAGGAUUGAUAGUGUUUUUAGUGUUCUUGUUUUGGUAAAUUUUGUAUAUUGUUAUAAAGAAAUGAGAAGAUUGUUAGUGUUAUUAAUGUUCUUGUUUUGGUAAAUUUUGUAUAUUGUUACCAAGAAAUGAGAAGAUUGAUAAUGUUAUUACUAUUCUUGUUUUGCUAAAUUUUGUAUAUUGUUAUCAAGAAAUAAGAAGAUUGAUAGUGUUAUUAGUAUUCUUGUUUUGCUAAAUUUUGUAUAUUGUUAUCAAGAAAUGAGAAGAUUGGUAGUGUUAUUUCACAAGAACAAAACGAUUUAAAACAUAUAACAAUAGUUCUUUACAGAAGAUUGGUAGUGUUAUUAGUGUUCUUGUUUUGCUAAAUUUUGUAUAUUGUUAUCAAGAAAUGAGAAGAUUGAUAAUGUUAUUAGUGUUCUUGUUUUGCUAAAUUUUGUAUAUUGUUAUCAAGAAAUGAGAACAUUGAUAGUGUUAUUAGUGUUCUUGUUUUGCUAAAUUUUGUAUAUUGUUAUCAAGAAAUCAGAGGAUUGAUAGAGUUAUUAGUGUUCUUGUUUUGUUAAAUUUUGUAUAUUGUUAUCAAGAAAUCAGAAGAUUGAUAGUGUUAUUAGUGUUUUUGUUUUCCUAAAUUUUGUAUAUUGUUAUCAAGAAAUGAGUAGAUUGAUAGUGUUAUUAGUAUUCUUGUUUUGCUAAAUUUUAUAUAUUGUUAUCAAGAAAUGAGAGGAUUGAUAGUGUUAUUAGUGUUCUUGUUUUGCUAAAUUCUGUAUAUUGUUAUCAAAAAAUGAGAGGAUUGAUAGUGUUAUUAGUGUUCUUGUUUUGCAACUUUCUGUAUAUUGUUAUCAAGAAAUGAGAAGAUUGAUAGUGUUAUUAGUGUUCUUGUUUUGCUAAAUUUUGUAUAUUGUUAUCAAGAAAUGAGAAGAUUGAUAGUGUUAUUAGUGUUCUUGUUUUGCUA
rnacentral:lncRNA from 1 species